CGACAGCUCCCAGCAUCCUUACUGCCUACAACUCCCAUAAUGCACAUGUCCAACUCCAUUGUUAACCCGUUUGUUGCGCACAGACAACUUUGUGCCACCAAAGCUCCAGUCUAUUUUAUAUACCCACCAUCACCUCACUUCAUACAAAACAACCAGCACAAGAUACAUUAAAAACACUUAUGUCAAACGGGCCACAGAGGGAGAAUGGCCACACACAAAGCUUCUAAAGGAACACUUGACAAUUGUAACAUAAUAAUAUAUAUUUAAAAUUAUUUAUAACAAUAACAAAUCUGAAACUGCAGUAAUCAAGUGCUUACUGUGAAUUACAUCUUAAUUGUUUAGCUUUCUAUUCGUCAGUUUUCCUGAAGGUUUCUAGAAAUAUGAAAACUAUGAGGCAGGAGAUUUAUUCACUCAACUGUUUUGAACCCUUCUAUUUCUUAAAAUAAUACCUUGAACAUCAAAUUUUAGUAAACAGAAUUUCAUUUUCAUAUUUAAAAGAAAAAGUUAAAAUAUCAUCUGACAUAAAACAGGUAAUAAACAGUGCCUUACCUGUAAAAAAAAAAUGCUUGGAUCCUUUGUCUGUUAUCACACUGCCUUGAACAAGGAUUUCCCAAGGUUACCUGAAAAGCUAAAGGAAUACAAAAAUAAUUUUACUGGAUGGAAUAAUAAGAACAAUUUAAAAAACUGUCAGGACUUUCAGACUUCAAAAUAUCCACAUAAGUUAUACCUGAAAAAUAUUUUGGAAACUAACAGAAAACUACAGGAAUUGAAUUGAUGCAGUGCUUUUAAACAGGCCUCUAGAUUCAGAGGCAGCUGUACUACAUGGAGACUGAAUGGCAGAAAUAUCCAAGUCUGACAGGCAAUUUCAAAAUAUCCAUUCUUUCCAGUUGAAAUACUGAAGAAAACUACAGCUCUAUGAAAUUUUCCAAGCAUAUCUCUCUCUUACCUGUUGCCAGUAUUGUUAGUCAAAACUAUAUCCACGUGGCAACACUCAGUGAAGUAGGAUGGAGGGCAAUAAGAAGCCACUGCUAAGUAGUGACCAGGUGGGGACUCCAUGCCCUCACUAGCAGACUAUCACUUGGCAAAGAGCAACUUUGUGAGCACUGUGUAGCUGUACCACUGGCAAAUGGCCAGCUGUGCCCCGUCAUGUUAUUGGAACCCUGCAAGCAAGCACUGAAAAGCAAGAACCACAACAAAGAGUACAGGAGCCCCCUUCCUCUUAACUGGCACUUGGGUGGCACUUAUUUCCUUCUGCCCACUUCAUCGGCUGCCACGUUUUCACUCCCCACAACCCAACAGAGAGUAAAGUGCACUUAACCCACUGAAAUCAAGUUAAGCACACUUAACUUAAUGGAUUGUGGCAACUUCAUGAUUUGUCACAUUUAUUAAUGACUGGACAUUCUUUUUUUAAAUCUUCUAGACUUAUUUGAAAAUGUUAUUGAUAAUAUGAACAGUAGAAUAAAAUUCUGGCUAUCGUGCAAUUAUACUACAUUUUAAUGUUUUCCUCCAUGUAAAACUCAUUUUUAAAAGAAUGAAAAUAAAAUACUUUUCAUGAA